CCCUUAGAUGUUCUGGGCCGCACGCGCGCUACACUGAUGCAUUCAACGAGCCUAUCCUUGACCGACAGGUCCGGGUAAUCUUUGAAUCUGCAUCGUGACGGGGAUAGAUUAUUGCAAUUAUUAAUCUUCAACGAGGAAUGCCUAGUAGGCGCAAGUCAUCAGCUUGCGUCGAUUACGUCCCUGCCCUUUGUACACACCGCCCGUCGCACCUACCGAUUGAAUGGUCCGGUGAAAUCUCCGGACUGGCGUGAGUCGGAGCAAUCUGACAAACACCGGAAAGUUGAUUAAACCUUACCAUUUAGAGGAAGGUGAAGUCGUAACA
rnacentral:rRNA from 1 species